rnacentral:rRNA from 1 species
CGAACGUUAGCGGCGCGCUUAACACAUGCAAGUCGAACGAGAAAGCAUCUUCGGAUGUGAGUACAGUGGCGCACGGGUGAGUAACACGUGGGUAUCUACCCUUUGGCGGGGGACAACACUUUGAAAAGAGUGCUAAUACCGCAUAAGUCGGCUUCGGCCGGGAAAGGUGGCUUCGGCUAUCACCAAAGGAUGAGCCCGCGGCCCAUCAGCUUGUUGGUAGGGUAAUUGCCUACCAAGGCUACGACGGGUAGCUGGUCUGAGAGGAUGAUCAGCCACACUGGAACUGAGACACGGUCCAGACUCCUACGGGAGGCAGCAGUGGGGAAUAUUGCGCAAUGGGCGAAAGCCUGACGCAGCGACGCCGCGUGAGUGAUGAAGGUUUUCGGAUCGUAAAGCUCUGUGGGAGAGGGACGAACAACCUGUGGGAAUAAUACCCCAUGGGCCUGACGGUACCUCUCCAGAAAGCACCGGCUAACUCC